AGGGGAUAACGUGAAACACUCUUUCAAGCUUGGAUUUCGAAAUGUGAACUGUUAUAAUAGUCGGCUAAAGCAGCCCGUCAUUGAAUUUGGUAAAAUGUGAACUUUUGAGUGGAUUCGUUGCUAUUGUUCCAUUGAAAGAAUAAAGGUUAUAGAUGCUUGAUUGAGGUGAACCACAUGUAGAGAUGUCUGCCCUACAUGGAUCAGAACUCCUAAUUUGGGUGCGGAAAAUUUGUGAACAGCAGCAUCUUGUCCAUCGUUAUGCACUGUAAAUGCAUAUACAUUCAAUAAUAAAAAACAAG